GUGAAUCAUCGAAUUUUUGAACGCAUAUUGCACUCUCUGGUAUUCCGGAGAGUAUGCCUGUUUGAGGGUCAUUUGAAAUCAUAUAAAUUCCAAGAUUUCUCGGAAUUUAAAAUGGGUUGUCCAUUUUUUGUGGUCGCCUAAAAUCCAAGACAAGCUCAUUUUCUUGGGUUGCGUGAUACUUUUGGUUACCUCGUGACUUAACCAGGAAUCAUCGGGCGUGUUAUGAAUUUCGCAGGAGAUAAAUAUGAGUUUAGCUCAUGCGAAAAUAGAAAUUGAAUCGUGACCUCAAAUUAGGUAGGAG
rnacentral:misc_RNA from 1 species